AGAAACAUAGAAGGAAAAUAAGAAGAGGCAAAGAAGUAAACAAGGAAUGAAGGAACGGGGGGAAAAGAGAGAAAGAAGAGGAGAGAGUGAAGCUGUACACGAACCUCCAAGCAGGGAUUCGAAACAGUGAUAUGAAGCAAUGUGACUUCUGUACCUACUACUACCAACCCUCUGCCACUCAACCUCCGUGCGUGUUUCGAGAGGUGUGUGUGCAGGAUGACGGCAAACACGUGGAUACCUGGGGAGGGACCAAAUUACAGCCUGUGGCCAAUGACAGGCCAAGGCAGCAGCACGUGACCUGUGGAAAGGCGGGAACCGUCUUGAGGGAGGAGGUGAGGAGCUCAGUUUGAGAGUGGCUUUCACAGUGAGCGUUUGUUGUAAGUGUUAAUACUGUUACUGUGAUUAUUGUACUGCGAGAUUGAUGGACACAGUUUGUGUGUGUACGGCUCCACGCAAUCUGUAGUGUCUGGAGUGUGACAGGCCUGGAAUAUCUGGAAGGUUGGCUCGUGUCGGCUACUAUGAUGUCCGUAGUGAUUGUGGUGUGCACAUACUGGCGCGCACACACAGAGACACUGUCUGGCUGUAACGUCUUCUAAUAGUUGAUUUGAGCAUUUAUUCUUCGUUAUUUGGAUUAUUUGGCCAAGUAUUGAUACGUGAAGGGUCGUGUACUGUGUCAACAGAGCGGUGGUGGGCUGAGGUGCCAGCAGGUCGCCCAUAUUUGUCAUUAUCUCCUUAAUUUGUCAGUCAUUGCAAGCCAGACAUGCCACAAUAUGGAGCUGCAAGUGUAGCCUUUCAUAUUUGCCAGUGAGAUAUACCAGACAUUGCAUGGUUUUGUUGUGGUAAAGUUUUAAAAAGUUGAAAUGGCUGCCGCCUCUUCGGGUCCUCGUCCCUGCCGCCGCCGCCGCCGCUAAGCCCCGCCCCCCGCCAAGAUGGCCGCCGCCUCCAGGUUCCAGUACUAUUUCUAUUAUUGUUUCUUUGCCUUAUUUCGCUCUACAAGUGAAUUGUGAUGGUUUGUAAGGAUAUUUAGUUACUUGUGAAGUGUUUGUGUUGCUUCUGUCAAGUGAGACAAGUUGAAUUAGC